GCCUGUCAUCACCUCAGAAACAAAACAGAAAUCCUUUGCUUUCCUUCUCUUUUGAAAACGUUUGUCAGUUUUCACGAAUUCCCUCUGUGGCUAGAGUCGCGGAUGCAUGGACUGCUGUGCAUCUGGCUCGUGGACAGCAUUCCCGUCCUCCUCCCUGCAUUCUUAGGCAGCCUGUUCCUGGCCGUGGCUCUAGGGUCUUCACCUGUUACACUUGGAUGAACUAGUGGGGAUGUGAACCUCGCUUCUCCCUAGUCUGUCCUCAGCCCCGGAAACUGUAACAGCCUUUUGGGGACUGAGAUUUCUGCGCGUUGCCCUGAGGAGAACACUUAGUGUGAACUAGGAGGCACUCUUGGUUGUACAGGGUGGUAAUGGAGGGAUCGUGGGCUGGAGGAGAGGGGCAUGUACUUUGACUGAAGUGUAUCCUACUCUGAUAUCGAUUGUCUCUUUCACGUAGAGACGCUGGUGAAGUACCUCCCACCCGCGGAUAAGCAGGCGCACAAGAAGAUGUCCAUUCUGAAGGAUCAUGGCUUUACAGAAAAUUUGACAUUCGGAUGGGAUGGACCAUCUUGGAGGUUACUCACAGCUCUCAAGUUGUUGUGUCUGGAAGCUGAGAAAUUGGUGAAUGCUGUCUCCAGUAAUUGAGGGACCUGCUGAAAUGAUCUUACUGGACAUUCUGGUUCUAGUACAUCCUGGAAAAAAGUACUCCUUGGAGAAGUCAUCUCAGAUACAAACGAGAAGACAAGCUUGGACAUGGCACAGAGAAUAUGCUCUGACUUCAUCGAAGAGACUCAUGCUGUGCUGCGUAAGGUUGCUGACAUGAAGGAGAGGGAAGUGUUGCUGAUAAAUCAACUCACUUUGGUGGAAGCAUUGCGGAUGGAAGAGCUGAGGAUUCUCCAGGCUUCCGCUGAGAUUGUGAGCAGUUUACAAGUCUCCUUUUUGUGACAGCACAGGGCACAUGUGAUUCUCUCCUGUGGAGGGUGCACUUUCUGCAGUUUUACUGAGGUUGGAAUAAAUAGACUUUUAUAUGAAAUUA